rnacentral:rRNA from 1 species
CACUCGUGCUAGUCAUUGCGUGUGAUCGAACUUACAGUAGUGUAUAAGGUAGUUGUUUAAACGUAGUUGAAACGCCUUUUUGUGUUUAUCACAUGGCUGGGGACUGGACUGUCUUCCACCCUGUUUACUUUUGCUUUGUGUUUAAUUUUUUAUAUAAAUAACCAGCUCCAGGGCGUACAUAAAAAAUAUAAAAAAAGCGAUGCAAACAAAAAAAAUUAAAGAGGAUGACUUUUAUUAUCUUUUAACUUACGUCAAUUUAAAUUUUAGAGGUUAUUCAAUAGUUACGGUUGUAAAAACCAUGGACUGUUGUCUGAGAGUGAAUUCAAAUUGGUUUAAUUGCUCCAACUAUUAAAUUAGUUUAAUUCAUAAACUCUUAGCUUGCUCCUCCGGAGUAAUGUUUUUUGUUUCUCCGGGAGGAGGGGCUUACUUCAAAUAAUUAAAUUAGUCUCCGUUUAUUUAAAAAUAAAUACUUUAUUUUUAAAUAAACAAUUGUUUAUUUAAAAAUAAACAAAUGCAAGUAUCAGAAUAAGAGAACAACGGCUAGGUGGCAGUUUAUGCGGGGCACAGAUCCCAUAAAGAGUAGCUGGGUAUAUCCUAAUUUUUUUAGAAAAAUUACGAAAAAAUUUUUUUUAUUUUUGGGAUUUAAUUUUUAUUUAAUAUAUAAAUUUUUUAUAUAAAUUUAAGAUAUAAUAUCUUAAGACGAAUUUAUAUAUAAGCGGAUAAUAUAUAAUACUUAUCCCAAUAUAUAUUUAAUCAUUAUCUUUUUACUUAAAGUAGAAUUUAAUUUUUUAAAGCAAGUAAGAUUUUAAUUAUAUUGAGAAUAGUUGUAAUAAAUAAAUUAACAUCCUCUAUCUUUAGUUCCAUAACAGAACAAUAAUGUACUGGAUGUAAUCUAAUAUAAAGUUGCUAAAAUCCAAGACUUUGGUCUUGUGAAUAGUGAUUUUGAUAAUUACUUGUCAAGUUUAAUGGCAUAAUCUUGCUUAACUGUGUGACCUACGCGUCUAUCAGUCGCGUAAGCGGGGCAUACGAUCACAAGAC